AAAUAUAGCAUUUGUUUUUAUUUUACUAAGCUAUUUCCGUCAUCUUUUAGGCUGAUCAAUUUGGAACAAUAGUUGAUAUUCUUGCUGAGGAUGGAAAACCUGUUAGCCUGGAUACGCCUCUGCUUGUUAUUGAACCAUGACGAGGAGCAUGAAAGGAGUCAAAAAACAAAUCAACUUGAGCCUUUUUAGUAGACUUUUGUUUGUUGAGUAAUUCUUACUUAUUGUGUGGGUGGUUUUAUUGUAAUUUUGUUUGUUCACCUUCUAUUUAAUGAGUACAAUUCUGUACUGAUUGAGUGUAUAAUUGAGUAAAAUAAUCUAGUUGGAUUGCUGUUUUUGGUAA